rnacentral:rRNA from 1 species
AACGAACGCUGGCGGCAUGCCUAACACAUGCAAGUCGAACGAGAUCUUCGGGUCUAGUGGCGCACGGGUGCGUAACGCGUGGGAAUCUGCCCUUUGGUUCGGAAUAACAGUUGGAAACGACUGCUAAUACCGGAUGAUGACGAAAGUCCAAAGAUUUAUCGCCAGAGGAUGAGCCCGCGUAGGAUUAGCUAGUUGGUGUGGUAAAGGCGCACCAAGGCGACGAUCCUUAGCUGGUCAGAGAGGAUGAUCAGCCACACUGGGACUGAGACACGGCCGAAACUCUAACGGGGGGAAGAAGGGGGGAUUAUGAGACAAUGGGGAAAAGCUUGAUCCAGAAAUGCCGCGGGAGUGCUGAAGGCCUUAGGUUUGUAAAGCUCUUUACCCCGGGAUGAUAAUGACGGAACCGGGAGAAAAAGCUCCGGCUAACUCCGUGCCAGCCCCCUCCGUAA